ACGCGUUGGGAGCUCUCCCAUAUGGUCGACCUGCAGGCGGCCGCGAAUUCACUAGUGAUUCGUAUUACCGCGGCUGCUGGCAAGGAUCAAACCUAGGCGAAUUCCGCGGCCGUCAUGACUUCCCCGCGAAAGAGCUUUACAACCCAAUUGCCCUAUCGUCAGUCGGCAUGGCUGGAUCAGGGUUGCCCCCAUUGUCCAAGAUUCCCCACUGCUGCCUCCCGUAGGAGUCUGGGCCGUGUCUCAGUCCCAGUGUUGCUGAUCAUCCUCUCAAACCAGCUAUGGAUCGUCGGCUUGGUAGGCCAUUACCCCACCAACUACCUAAUCCAACGCGGGCCGAUCCCUCUCCGAUAAAUCUUUCCCGAACCAUCUCGCGAUGAUCCGGCGUAUCCGGCAUUACUCCCAGUUUCAUUAGGCUAUUGAAUAAAGGGACACGUCCCACGUGUUACUCACCCGUCUGCCACCUGUAGCCAGCCGCGACUUCAUGAGUUAAGCCUGCCGCCGCGUCUUCUGAGCCAUGAUCAAACUCUAAUCGAAUUCCCGCGGCCGCCAU
rnacentral:rRNA from 1 species